UUCCAACGUUGAAAUAAUAAAACCUAUCUAAUCUAGUAAUAAUAUAUAAUCUUCUCCUCUCUCUCUCUCCUCUCUCUAGAAAUCGGAGAGAAUCACCAUUUUCUCUUUCCUUUUUUUUUUCUUUUCCUCCGCGAUUUUCUCUCCCCUUAUAUUAUAUUUUUCUCUCUAGAAAAUAGUAAAAACUCGAAAGAGACAACGACUUUUUUUUUUUUUGGGCACGAGCAGAGCAAAGGAGAGAGAGAGAGUCUAACAAAGAAAAACAGUAGACACGGAUUUCAUGAGACUGAAGAAAGAGAGAGAGAGAGAAAAAAAGGCAAGAAGAAGACGCGUGAAUUUUUACCACAAGAAUCCCCAAUAUUUUCUGUUUAAUGCAAUUUUAUCCCCAAAAAAUAUUAUUUAUACAGUAUUUAUCUUCUUUGUCGCCGUUUAUUUCAA
rnacentral:lncRNA from 1 species